rnacentral:rRNA from 1 species
UGGGGAAUCUUCCGCAAUGGACGAAAGUCUGACGGAGCAACGCCGCGUGUAUGACGAAGGCCUUCGGGUUGUAAAGUACUGUCUUUGGGGGACGAACGGUAUCUAUGUAAAUAAUGCAGAUACAUGACGGUACCCAAGGAGGAAGCCCCGGCUAACUACGUGCCAGCAGCCGCGGUAAUACGUAGGGGGCGAGCGUUGUCCGGAAUCAUUGGGCGUAAAGGGCGCGUAGGCGGGUCAUUAAGUCUGGUGUGAAAGGCAGGGGCUCAACCCCUGGAAGGCACCGGAACUGGUUAUCUUGAGGACAGGGAGAGGAAAGCGGAAUUCCACGUGUAGCGGUGAAAUGCGUAGAUAUGUGGAGGAACACCAGUGGCGAAGGCGGCUUUCUGGACUGUAACUGACGCUGAGGCGCGAAAGCGUGGGGGAGCAAAACAGGAUUUAGAUACCCCUGGUAGUCCACGCCGUAAACGAUGAGUGCUAGGUGUAGAGGGGUAUCGACCCCCUUCUGUGCCGCAGUUAACACAAUAAGCACUCCGCCUGGGGAGUACGGCCGCAAGGUUGAAACUCAAAUGAAUUGAC